rnacentral:rRNA from 1 species
GAUGAACGCUGGCGGCGUGCCUAAUACAUGCAAGUCGAGCGAACAGACGAGGAGCUUGCUCCUCUGACGUUAGCGGCGGACGGGUGAGUAACACGUGGAUAACCUACCUAUAAGACUGGGAUAACUUCGGGAAACCGGAGCUAAUACCGGAUAAUAUAUUUAACCGCAUGGUUCAAUAGUGAAAGACGGUUUUGCUGUCACUUAUAGAUGGAUCCGCGCCGCAUUAGCUAGUUGGUAAGGUAACGGCUUACCAAGGCGACGAUGCGUAGCCGACCUGAGAGGGUGAUCGGCCACACUGGAACUGAGACACGGUCCAGACUCCUACGGGAGGCAGCAGUAGGGAAUCUUCCGCAAUGGGCGAAAGCCUGACGGAGCAACGCCGCGUGAGUGAUGAAGGUCUUCGGAUCGUAAAACUCUGUUAUUAGGGAAGAACAAAUGUGUAAGUAACUAUGCACGUCUUGACGGUACCUAAUCAGAAAGCCACGGCUAACUUCGUG